UACGGAGGGUGCAAACGUUGCUCGGAAUCAUUGGGCGUAAAGCGCACGUAGGCGGCCCGCCAAGUCGGACGUGAAAGCCCAGGGCUCAACCCUGGAAGUGCGUUCGAAACUGACGGGCUUGAAUAUGGAAGAGGGUCGCGGAAUUCCCGGUGUAGAGGUGAAAUUCGUAGAUAUCGGGAGGAACACCAGUGGCGAAGGCGGCGACCUGGGCCAAUAUUGACGCUGAGGUGCGAAAGCGUGGGGAGCAAACAGG
rnacentral:rRNA from 1 species